CAAUAGCGUAUAUUAAAGUUGUUGCAGUUAAAACGCUCGUAGUCGGAUUUCGGGGCGGGUCCGCCGGUCUGCCGAUGGGUACGCACUGGCGGGCGCGUCCUUCCUUCCGGAGACUGGCCCUACUCUUAGCUGAGCGGGGUCGGGAGUCGGAUCGUUUACUUUGAAAAAAUCAGAGUGUUUCAAGCAGGCAGCUCGCUCUUGCAUGGAUUAGCAUGGGAUAAUGAAAUAGGACUUUGGUGCUAUUUUGUUGGUUUCGAACACCGAAGUAAUGAUUAACAGGGACAGUCAGGGGCACUCGUAUUCCGCCGAGAGAGGUGAAAUUCUCAGACCAGCGGAAGACGAACCACUGCGAAAGCAUUUGCCAGGGAUGUUUUCACUGA
rnacentral:rRNA from 1 species